rnacentral:lncRNA from 1 species
GAGACCAGCUAGACAAAUGAACAGCCAAUUGCACAGUAUACCCAGAGCUUCAACAGAAUUGUGAGAAAAAUAGACUCAAAGUGAUCAAAUUCAGCACUGAUAGUAUUUUCAGAUAUAAAAUGAGUAUUUUAGCUCUAGUAUUGAAGAUAAAAGCUCCGGAUCCCAAUCCGAUGCCCCAAAUGGUUCAUUUUAUAGUAAAAUUGUUAAGGCAUCGGAUUUUACUUUGUUUUCUUUUUAGUCCUCAACUCAAAUUGUAUUUUUU